AUUGCUUCUCAGCCUUUUGGCUAAAAUCAAGAGUAGUAUCUGUUCUUAUCAGUUUAAUAUCUGAUAUGUCCUCUAUCCAAGGACAAUAUAUUACAUCGAUUUUUGGAGCAGGGAGAUGGAAUAGGAUCCUUCCACUCUGUCCAUUGACCUGGAACUUCAGUACCUCUGGGAAUGCUGCACCUCCU